rnacentral:rRNA from 1 species
GUUGAACGCUGGCGGCAGGCCUAACACAUGCAAGUCGAACGGGUGGCGGACGGGUGAGUAAUGUCUGGGAAACUGCCUGAUGGAGGGGGCUAACUACUGGAAACGGUAGCUAAUACCGCAUACCAUCGGAUGUGCCCAGAUGGGAUUAGCUAGUAGGUGGGGUAAAGGCUCACCUAGGCGACGAUCCCUAGCUGGUCUGAGAGGAUGAACAGCCACACUGGAACUGAGACACGGUCCAGACUCCUACGGGAGGCAGCAGUGGGGAAUAUUGGACAAUGGGCGAAAGCCUGAUGCAGCCAUGCCGCGUGUAUGAAGAAGGUCUUCGGGUUGUAAAGUACUUUCAGUGGGGAGGCGUUACCCGCAGAAGAAGCACCGGCUAACUCCGUGCCAGCAGCCGCGGUAAUUC